UACGUAGGUGGCAAGCGUUAUCCGGAAUUAUUGGGCGUAAAGCGCGCGCAGGUGGUUUCUUAAGUCUGAUGUGAAAGCCCACGGCUCAACCGUGGAGGGUCAUUGGAAACUGGGAGACUUGAGUGCAGAAGAGGAAAGUGGAAUUCCAUGUGUAGCGGUGGAAUGCGUAGAGAUCGGGAAGAACACCCGUGGCGAAGGCGGCCGGCUGGGCCGGGUCUGACGCUGAGGCGCGAAAGCGUGGGGAGCAACAGG
rnacentral:rRNA from 1 species